GAUGAACGCUAGCUACAGGCUUAACACAUGCAAGUCGAGGGGCAGCGGGAUUGAAGCUUGCUUCAAUUGCCGGCGACCGGCGCACGGGUGAGUAACGCGUAUCCAACCUUCCGUACACUCAGGGAUAGCCUUUCGAAAGAAAGAUUAAUACCUGAUGGUAUCUUAAGCACACAUGUAAUUAAGAUUAAAGAUUUAUCGGUGUACGAUGGGGAUGCGUUCCAUUAGGUAGUAGGCGGGGUAACGGCCCACCUAGCCAACGAUGGAUAGGGGUUCUGAGAGGAAGGUCCCCCACAUUGGAACUGAGACACGGUCCAAACUCCUACGGGAGGCAGCAGUGAGGAAUAUUGGUCAAUGGGCGAGAGCCUGAACCAGCCAAGUAGCGUGAAGGAUGACUGCCCUAUGGGUUGUAAACUGCUUUAUAAGGGAAUAAAGUGAGUCUCGUGAGACUUUUUGCAUGUACCUUAUGAAUAAGGACCGGCUAAUUCCGUGCCAGCAGCCGCGGU
rnacentral:rRNA from 1 species